rnacentral:rRNA from 1 species
CCUACGGGUGGCUGCAGUGGGGAAUUUUGGACAAUGGGCGAAAGCCUGAUCCAGCCAUGCCGCGUGCAGGAUGAAGGCCUUCGGGUUGUAAACUGCUUUUGUACGGAACGAAAAGACUCUUUCUAAUAAAGAGGGUCCAUGACGGUACCGUAAGAAUAAGCACCGGCUAACUACGUGCCAGCAGCCGCGGUAAUACGUAGGGUGCAAGCGUUAAUCGGAAUUACUGGGCGUAAUUCGGUAGCAGGGGGGUGAAAUCCCCGGGCUCAACCUGGGAACUGCAUUUGUGACUGCAUAGCUAGAGUACGGUAGAGGGGGAUGGAAUUCCGCGUGUAGCAGUGAAAUGCGUAGAUAUGCGGAGGAACACCGAUGGCGAAGGCAAUCCCCUGGACCUGUACUGACGCUCAUGCACGAAAGCGUGGGGAGCAAACAGGAUUAGAUACCCCUGUAGUC